GAGAUGUGGGUAGUCCGCACGAGCGCACCUCACUUUUAGUUGCCAUCAUUAAGUUGGGCACUCUGAAAGAACUGCCAGUGAUAAGCUGGAGGAAGGUGGGGAUGACGUCAAGUCCUCAUGGCCCUUACGUGUUGGGCUACACACGUGCUACAAUGGUAUCUACAACAGGAAGCAAGACUGCGAAGUUGAGCAAAUCCCUAAAAGAUACCUCAGUUCGGAUUGCACUCUGCAACUCGAGUGCAUGGAGCUAGAAUUACUAGUAAUCGUGGAUCAGCGUGCCACGGUGCAUGCGUUCCCGGGUCUUGUACACACCGCCCGUCACACCAUGGGAGUUGGUUCUACCUUAAGGCAAGGUUUUAAACCCUUGACCACGGUAUAGUCAGCGACUGGGGUGAAGUCGUAACAAGGUAGCCGUAGGGGAACCUGCGGCUGGAUUACCUCCUUUCU
rnacentral:rRNA from 1 species